CAAAACCCAAUAAGAAAUUUGCUUAAUAUUAAAUGCAUGUCAUAGAAGACCGAAAUAUUUAUUACGCCAAAUGUCCGUUACUUAAUCGAACUGUCACACGUGAACCAGAAAACAUCGUCACUAAUGCCCUUGUCUGGAUUUAACAAGACUGAAAUGUGGCCCUUCCCUUGCUCUGUUUGUGUAGACAAUAAAUCAAAACCUCUCGUUUAACAUUUUGCAUCUCUUAAAAACUCCGACUGCCCCGUGACGGCCCAGUUACCACAGCAACUACAGCAUCCCAGGUGCAAUCCUUCUGCUGAAACUCCGAGCACCUGUACCAAACAUUAGUUUGCGGUUUCACAAUUCCCUCAUGACACACACCAUGAACGAAGUGGGCGUCUGAGAGUUGCACAACAUUCUGUCCGAUUUCAAAGGACACAUAAUUGUUUAUUCAAUUAUGUACCCUACAAUAUUUUACAAUAAGCAUUAUUCAGAUAGGACGAACAAUUAAUUAAAUGAAUAAUAUAGCACUACAGGAUUCCAGCAGGAAUUUAAUUACUUCUUAUUGAGUUGUUGGUAUUAUAUUUUUCUUUAUAACUAAAAACACAAAAUCACGUAUGACUGGAAGGUCACAUGAGAUUUAUAAAAUAAGUCUUUUAAUAUAAGGGAAGACUAGGGUUAGUUUUCACACUCCUGUUUAAUGUAACUCGACACACAAUAGGCUAAAACUCAUGGGCUGGAUAUAAGCAGAAUAUAAAUUAAAAUAAAUAAAUAAAUGCAGCGACAUCACCGAUCAGAAAAUGUCAUUAAAGUCUCAUUAAGGUUUCACAUUGGUCGUGACGUUAGCAACCCACAAACCCUGCGCGCCCCACCGCGAGCUCAAAACAGACGCAGCGCGCGCUCUGAGGUGCAGCACGCGAAACGGAGCUCUUCUCUGCUGCUUGAGACUGCAAAGACGAAAGCUGUUCCGGAUAACAUCAAGAGCAGAAAACAUAUGUGUGCAUCAUGAAGUUUGCGGCUUUAGUCUGUUUGGUUGUUUUCUUCGCUGCAGGAUCAGGUCAUUCAUCAGUUGUGAAAGACGAGGAUGACACCCUAGAACCAGUUCAAGAAGAACUUAUAAAGCCAAGAGGAGAGUCUAAAGUCAAGGAGGAACUCAUUGAGGAUCUUCUCAAAACUAACAAACGGGAGGAGAUGGAUGACGAGCGAAGCCAGGAAGAGUUCCCAAGUUUUCUGAAAAGAAGAAUGAAAGAAAAACGUGACGAACUGGAUGACGAACGAAGCCAAGAAGAGUUCCCAAGUUUUAUGAAAAGAAGAAUGAAAGAAAAACGUGACGAACUGGAUGACGAGCGAAGCCAAGAAGAGUUCCCAAGUUUUAUGAAAAGAAUAUUGAACGAAAAACGUGACGAACUGGAUGACGAGCGAAGCCAAGAAGAGUUCCCAAGAUUUAUGAAAAGAAUAUUGAACGAAAAACGUGACGAACUGGAUGACGAGCGAAGCCAAGAAGAGUUCCCAAGUUUUAUGAAAAGAAGAAUGAAAGAAAAACGUGACGAACUAGAUUAUGACCGGAGCCAGGAAGAGUUCCCAAGUUUCUAUAAAAGAAGCAACAAGCAUAAAAGGGCAGAUCCCGACGAUGAGAGAAGCCAAGAGGAAUUUCCCCAGAAAAGACACGUUUCUGUCCUUUACAAACGUGAUAAUCUUGAUGAGGAGCGCAGCCAGGAGGAAUUCCCUCUGUAUGAUUAUAAAAGGACUCAUCUUCUGACCAGCAAAGAAAAACGUGAAGAGUCGGACUAUGAUAGAAGCCAAGAAUUAUUCCCAAGUUACACCCACAAAAGAAACCAUGGGGAUGGAGAAGAAGAGGAUGAGGAGAGUGAGGAAAGAGAGAAGCGGAUCUGGAAGCCAUCACAUAGAUACCACCACAAGAAAAAGCAACACAAACGCAGUGAGAAUGAGGAUUUCGAAGAACCAGACUAUUACAGAAGUCAAGAAGACUUCCCAAGCUACAGCCAAAAAAGAAGCCAUGGGGAUAGCAGGGACUACAAACCAAAUGAAGACCUGCUGAACAAGCAUAUUAAUGAGGACUUAAACUCUCGGGAAGAGAAUUCUGAAGAGGUAGACGAGGAUACAGCAAAGCGAUACUGGAAACCCACCCAUAGAUACCAUCAUAAGAAGCACCACAAAAGACCCGUGGAAAAAAGGUACGAGGACUCAGAGGAAAGUGAGGAAAUGGAUAAAAGGAUCUGGAAGCCAACACACAGAUAUCACCAUAAGAAGCUUCAUCACAAGCGUGGCGACUCCACAGAGCUCAAGGAUGAAGAUGAACCCAUCUCACAGAAGACUCACAGUCUCCAUGACUCAACAGGCAAUGAAGAGGAAGAAGAAGAAAAUGUUCAUGAGCUUAAUGAAAAGAGGCGUCCCUUAACCAGCCAAGAGGAGGAAGAUGAGCUGAAGAAAGGACACCAGAGUUUUGCAGAGGAGAAGCAGGACAGGGAGACUGCGUUGCGGUACCUAACAAAAAAGAAGAAUGAGUUAAAGGAACGUCUACUUAACAAAGGUGAUGUCUAUGAGAAGCGUUCCCCAUGGAUUUACAGAGGAUUCUACCAUCCAGCCUGGUAUAAGAGAGGCCAUAAGGUGGAUGAAAGCACUGACCAGCACCCCUACCAUAAACUAGAGGACUUUGCUGAGACUCUCCGGUACAAAAGAGGCCUGCUUACUAAUGGGGAGUCAUUCGAGGAGGAAAAGGGUGUCCCCCAACAGAAGCUUCUCACACCAGAGUUAAAAGAACUUGAGAAACUGGCCUCUGUGGAUCAACAGAUGAAAGAGACAACUUAA
rnacentral:lncRNA from 1 species